rnacentral:tRNA from 1 species
GGGCUCGUAGCUCAGUCUGGUAGAGCACUGCUCUUGCACAGCAGGGGCCUCGGGUUCAAAUCCCGACGAGUCCA